UAAGAACUUUCCUCUGAGGCAGUAAGGUAGCACAGUGGAUAUAGAGUGCUAGGCCUGCAGUUGGGAGGACUGGGGUUUAAAUCUGGUCUCAGACACUUCCUAGCUGUGUGACCCUAGAUAAGUCACUUAACCCAGAUUGCCUAGCCCUGACACUCUUUUGUCUUAAAAUUAAUACUAAAACAAAAGGUAAGGGUUUAAAAAAAUUCUUUUAAAGAACCCUGAUCUAGAGCUUCAAUAAUUACAUAAACAUCAUCAGGUAACUCUGCAACCCUAAUUUUAUACCUACUUUAUGACUUCCCAUAUUCUACAGAAAGCCUUUUAUUCCAACCCCUCUUAAUUCUAGUGCCUUCUUUUUCUUAUUUCCUAUUUGUCCUGCCCUUGACUCGUAGGUCAUUGUUGGCUUUUCAUCUCCCCCUUUAGAUUGUAAACUCUUUGUGGGCAAGAAUUGUCUUUUGCCUCUUAUUGUAACCCAGAGACUUAGCACAAUGCCUGUCACAUAGUAGGGACUUAAUGUUUAUUAACUGACUUCCUUGAGGAGUACCCAACUCUCCUAAAAUGCAGAAACAAUGAGUUAGGGGAAUGGAGGAUCUUUUUCUGGCUUGCUGAUGACUACCAGGUUUAAUAGGCUAUGGCCACUUGAGUCUGAGUGAUAGUAGCAGCGCCCGUUUGCUCAUUCUCCAGUGGUCCAUUCUUACAAUGGAAACAAAGCAGUUCUUUUUCAUCUUGAUCAUCCACAUUGCUUCCCACUGCAUUUCAUAGUCACUUAUAAGCCAGAGUAUUCCAAAGGAUGGUGGGGCAGAUUUUUCUUUUAAAGAAACUCCCUCUUAUUCACUCUCUGCCAAUUUUUAUGGCCUGAAACCUUUGAGAAGAGGGUAUUGUAAGAUUUAAAUUAAUGUGCAAUACUUCAAGUAUUCUAUUUUAUACAGUUUAUUAUCAGACAAAAUAGAACCAAGUGACUAAGUUUUUCUACCUGCUCAAACUCCGCACUCCACCAAAGCUGCGACAGGAAGGAAAGAGGGAGAGAGAUGGACCUCCAUCCAAUUCAUAUCCUGUCUAUGGAACAAUAAAGUGGAGAAGUUCCAUGGAGACUGGAACAACCUCCAGGAAGUGAUGCAGAGUGAGAGGAGCAGAACCAGGAGAACACUGUACACAGAGACUAAUACACUGUGGUAUAAUCGAACGUAAUGGACUUCUCCAUAAAUGGUGGUGUAAUGUCCCUGAACAAUUUGCAGGGAUCCAGGAGAAAAAAACACCAUUCAUAAGCAAAGGAUAAACUAUGGGAGUGGAAACACCGAGGAAAAGCAACUGCCUGAAUACAGAGGUUGAGGGGACAUGACAGAGGAGAGACUCUAAAUGAACACUCUAAUGCAAAUACUAUCAAUAAAGCAAUGGGUUCAAAUCA
rnacentral:lncRNA from 1 species